rnacentral:rRNA from 1 species
GUCCACGCCGUAAACGAUGGACACUAGGUGUGGGGGGUAUUGACCCCCUCCGUGCCGAAGCUAACGCGAUAAGUGUCCCGCCUGGGGAGUACGGCCGCAAGGCUAAAACUCAAAGGAAUUGACGGGGGCCCGCACAAGCAGCGGAGCGUGUGGUUUAAUUCGACGCAACGCGAAGAACCUUACCAAGGCUUGACAUGCUGGUAGUACCAAUCCGAAAGGUGCGGGACCCUUCGGGGAGCCAGUGCAGGUGAUGCAUGGCUGUCGU